rnacentral:rRNA from 1 species
GAUGAACGCUGGCGGCGUGCCUAAUACAUGCAAGUCGAGCGAACAGACGAGAGUGCUUGCACUCUCUGACGUUAGCGGCGGACGGGUGAGUAACACGUGGGUAACCUACCUAUAAGACUGGGAUAACUUCGGGAAACCGGAGCUAAUACCGGAUAAUAUUUAGCUUCGCAUGAAGCAAUAGUGAAAGACGGUUCUGCUGUCACUUAUAGAUGGACCCGCGGUGUAUUAGCUAGUUGGUGAGGUAACGGCUCACCAAGGCAACGAUACAUAGCCGACCUGAGAGGGUGAUCGGCCACACUGGGACUGAGACACGGCCCAGACUCCUACGGGAGGCAGCAGUAGGGAAUCUUACGCAAUGGACGAAAGUCUGACGGAGCAAUGCCGCGUGAGUGAAGAAGGUUUUCGGAUCGUAAAACUCUGUUGUAAGGGAAGAACAAGUACGUUAGUAACUGAACGUACCUUGACGGUACCUUACCAGAAAGCCACGGCUAACUACGUG